rnacentral:rRNA from 1 species
UACGGGGGGGGCAAGCGUUGUUCGGAAUUACUGGGCGUAAAGGGCUCGUAGGUGGCCCCAUAAGUCAGACGUGAAAUCCCUCGGCUCAACCGAGGAACUGCGUCUGAGACUGUGGGGCUUGAAUCCGGGAGAGGGAUGCGGAAUUCCAGGUGUAGCGGUGAAAUGCGUAGAUAUCUGGAGGAACACCGGUGGCGAAGGCGGCAUCCUGGACCGGUAUUGACACUGAGGCGCGAAAGCCAGGGGAGCAAACGGG